rnacentral:sRNA from 1 species
AGAUGAAGGCGGCCCCAGAUGAAGGCAACAGUACUAGGUUGCAGGACUUGCUAAGCCGGUAGGUGGCCUGGGGUGUUAAGAGAUGGGAAGAGAGGCUGAUCCCUGUCCCCCACAGCACUGGAGGACUCCCGGCCCCAGGAAGGGGCAAAUGGUGAGGCCGAGUCAGGUGAGCUCAGCCGGCUUCGGGCUGAGCUGGCAGGCGCCCUGGCAGAAAUGGAAACCAUGAAGGCUGUGGCAGAGGUGAGCGAGAGCACGAAGGCCGAGGCUGUGGCUGCGGUGCAGCGGCAGUGCCAAGAGGAGGUGGCCUCGCUGCAGGCCAUCCUGAAAGACUCCAUCAGCAGCUAUGAAGCCCAGAUCACCGCCCUGAAGCAGGAGCGACAGCAGCAGCAGCAGGACUGUGAGGAGAAGGAGCGGGAGCUGGGCCGCCUGAAGCAGCUGCUGUCCCGGGCCUACCCCCUGGACUCCCUGGAGAAGCAGAUGGAAAAGGAAACAGGCUCAGGGAUGGUGUCAGUUACCUAGUUAGAAAGAAAGAUGAAGACAGGAGCCCAUGAAACAAAGACCUUCAAGCCACAUCUUCCC